rnacentral:lncRNA from 1 species
AUUUCUUUGAAAAUUUCUGAAACAUUUAUUUAAAAAUUCAGUUAUAGGACUGGGGAUAUAGCUCAGUUGGUAGAGUGCUUGCUUCGCAUGCACAAGACCAUGGGUUCAAUCCCCAGCACCACAAAAAAAAAAAAAAAAAAUAUUCAAUUAUAGAAUGUUAUACUUCAAACAGAAGUUCUCUGGCUUCAUAUUUAAAAAUGUCUUUCUUGAUUUCCAUCACUUAUAUUUGAACAAAAUUCUGCUUGUAGUUCCAGUUCUGUUCUCUCUUCUCAUGACUGGUUUCUUAUUCCAAAGCAGGGUUUGUCCACCUCUGCACUAUGUACAUUCUGAGUCAGAUAAUUCUUUAUUGUGAGGGUUUUAUACAUUGUAGUCUAUUAAACAGAAUUGUCUGAACUCUGCCCACUAGAUACCAGUAGCAAUACCUGAUCAUGACAAAAAAUUUUCUGAAGUCAAGUUUAACCAGUUGUUCUGUAUUUUAUCUGACAACCCUACUCCCAAUUGAGAAACACUGAUUGAAGGCACCUUCUAACUCAGUGGUCUUCAACCUACAUUUGUAUAUUAGGAUCAUCCAAGAAAGCAUUUGAUAAUACUGAUGAUUCGGCCCCACUACCACAGAUUGAUUUCAUUAGGUCCCUGAGGUCCAGGCAUCAGCAUUUUUAAAAGAAUUUCCAAGUGCUUUAUUAUGCCAUUAGGGUACUCUAAAACUCAGUGGAAUAAAAAGGCAUUAAAGAAAUAAGAACAGGAUAUCAAUAUGAAUUUUAAGGAUUAAGGAAAUAUUUUUAGUAGGAGUGUCCUAAUCAGACCCAAAUCAAUUAAAGAAAGGAUUUGUUUGAGUCCCACUUCAUGAACCCUUUUCUGCUACUGCACCCUCAUCAGUCCUCCCUUAUAUUGAAUAGUACUUUGUUGUAUACUAGUAUACAAUUGUUUGGGGUUUUGAUUUGGGUUUUUCUUAAAUUUUGUCUCCCAUACUUAGAAAUUAGGAAUCCCAAUUUCCUACUGAAGAACAGCACUGAACUUGAAACAGUAACUUUUAUUCUCAUCCUCUGAUUACUAACCUGGGUAUUUUAAACUUACAUAGAUUUUUGUCUGCCCUCCAUUCUUUUUGUCAAUAGGAUAUAUGUAGACUGUUACUUCAUUAUCCAGUGGACUUAGAUAAAG